ACGCACGCUGGCGGCGUGCUUCACCCCUGCAAGUCGAACGGUGAACGAGGGAGCUUGCUCCCUCCGGAUCAGUGGCGAACGGGUGAGUAACACGUGAGCAAUCUGCCCCGAACUCUGGGAUAAGCGUUGGAAACGACGUCUAAUACCGGAUACGACGCGGGAGGGCAUCCUCUCCGCGUGGAAAGAACUUCGGUUCGGGAUGAGCUCGCGGCCUAUCAGCUUGUUGGUGAGGUAACGGCUCACCAAGGCGACGACGGGUAGCCGGCCUGAGAGGGUGACCGGCCACACUGGGACUGAGACACGGCCCAGACUCCUACGGGAGGCAGCAGUGGGGAAUAUUGCACAAUGGGCGCAAGCCUGAUGCAGCAACGCCGCGUGAGGGACGACGGCCUUCGGGUUGUAAACCUCUUUUAGCAGGGAAGAAGCGAAAGUGACGGUACCUGCAGAAAAAGCACCGGCUAACUACGUG
rnacentral:rRNA from 1 species